UAAUACGGGGGGUGCAAGCGUUAUUCGGAAUUACUGGGCGUAAAGAGCGCGUAGGCGGUCUCUUAAGUCGGGUGUGAAAGCCCGGGGCUCAACCCCGGAAGUGCAUUCGAAACUAUGGGACUUGAGUAUGGGAGAGGGAAGUGGAAUUCCUGGUGUAGCGGUGAAAUGCGUAGAUAUCAGGAGGAACAUCGGUGGCGAAGGCGACUUCCUGGACCAAUACUGACGCUGAGGCGCGAAGGCGUGGGGAGCAAACAGGAUUAGAUACCCUGGUAGUCCACGCAGUAAACGGUGAUCACUAGGUGUAGCGGGUAUUGACCCCUGCUGUGCCGCAGCAAACGCAUUAAGUGAUCCGCCUGGGGAGUACGACCGCAAGGUUA
rnacentral:rRNA from 1 species